rnacentral:lncRNA from 1 species
CUAUCCAAAGUGCCCAUUCCACAACACUUACUAAUACGUCACUUGCAUAUUGAGUAUUCUUCCAUUUCAUUAGAAUUUUACCCGUUGAACACAUCGGAAUAUAACUCAGAUACUUGGAAAGUUUACACAUAAGUGCCACAUAUGUAGCCAAGCUACCAUGUAACCCACCCAUAAGCAAACUCGAACUCAACUCAACGAGCUCGG